rnacentral:rRNA from 1 species
GGAUCGCAGGCUGCAACCCGCCUGCGUGAAGUCGGAAUCGCUAGUAAUCGCGGAUCAGCAUGCCGCGGUGAAUACGUUCCCGGGCCUUGUACACACCGCCCGUCACACCAUGAGAGUCGGGAACACCCGAAGUCCGUAGCCUAACCGCAAGGAGGGCGCGGCCGAAGGUGGGUUCGAUAAUUGGGGUGAAGUCGUAACAAGGUAAC